rnacentral:lncRNA from 1 species
GUUAAUAAUUUUUUUUUUAUGAUAGUCACAGAGAGAGAGAGGCAGAGACACAGGCAGAGGGAGAAGCAGACUCCAUGCACCGGGAGCCCGACGUGGGAUUCGAUCCCGGGUCUCCAGGAUCGCGCCCUGGGCCAAGGGCAGGCGCUAAACUGCUGCGCCAGCCAGGGAUCCCCAUGAAAAAGUUUAUAAUACCAAAGGGAGUGUCAAAACUGGAAAGAAGGGAUCGCCAAAGUUGACUGCAAAUACAUUUAAAACAUCUCUAUGGCCGCAGAUACAACAAACAACUUGGAGAAAAUAUUCACAACGUCUACAAGACACCCAUAGUAUAUGAAGAAUGCCUACAAAUCAAUGUAAAAGAGAUGUGGAAGGGCAGGCAAUACACAGAGUGAAAGUUGCAAAGGAUCAAUAAGCAUGAAAAAGUAAUACAUUUUAUUAGGAUUUGGUAAACUGCAAAAUAGAAAAAAUAAUAUGUAAAAUGUAGGGUCAUUUAAAGUAAUCAGAAUAUAAUCAUCUAUAAAAUACAGAUAUACAAAACGUAUUAAGCUAUAAAAUUAUCACAAAAUCUAAGAACUAAGGAAGUCAUUAAAGGCUAAGUCUCCUUCUGGCUUUACCAUUCUUAAUGUACAACUUAUCCUCAUAGUCUCAAGAUGGCUGCUGUGUCCCAGACAUUACACCUGGGUUCUAGGCAUAGAGAAGGGAAGAAUGGCAAGAGGAGAACCGUACAUGCCAGCUGGAUUGGACCUACACAUCAGUAAACUUGUACCUUUCCUAGAAGCCUAAUCUCUAGAAUGACACUUCAACCUUACUGGCAAAACUGUGACAUAGUUUACUCCUAACUCUUGGGAUUUGAGGAGGAGCAUAUCUUUUAAAUGAAGAUAUUUUUGUGCCAAACUAAAAUGUGGUUUUGUUAACAAGCAAGAAGUGGAACAUAUAUCUUGCUUGGUCAACUAGUGAUGCUGUGGGAAGGAAGCACCGAGACUAGUCCUUGGUACGUUGAACAUGCUCAAUAAACAUUAGUUAAAGAAAUGGGAUUUUUUAUAUUAUCAUCUACACAAUCCCCCAGAAUGACAGUGAAGGGGGGGACCAAGAUGAGAGCCGAGCAUCAGCUACAGAGGAAACGAGGGCCCACGGAACAGAAGGCUCCUUGAGAUCAAGGAUGAGGUGGGUACAGUGAUGCCGUGCUUGCUGCCUGAGGUCACUGAAAACCCUGAGAGCAGAGUCAGAUACAAAGUAUGAGAUAGUUGUGAUCCGUCUCUGGAAUUGCGCUGUUCAGUGCCAC